AUACGGAGGGUCCGAGCGUUAAUCGGAAUUACUGGGCGUAAAGCGUACGUAGGUGGCUUGAUUAGUCGGAUGUGAAAGCCCUGGGCUCAACCUGGGAACUGCAUUCGAUACUGUCAGGCUAGAGUAUAGUAGAGGGAAGUGGAAUUCCGGGUGUAGAGGUGAAAUGCGUAGAUAUCCGGAGGAACACCAGUGGCGAAGGCGGCUUCCUGGACUAAUACUGACACUGAGGUACGAAAGCGUGGGGAGCAAACAGGAUUAGAAACCCCAGUAGUCC
rnacentral:rRNA from 1 species